rnacentral:rRNA from 1 species
CUACGGGGGGCAGCAGUGAGGAAUAUUGCACAAUGGGGGGAACCCUGAUGCAGCAACGCCGCAUGGAGGAUGACGCAUUUCGGUGUGUAAACUCCUUUUAUAUGUCAAGAAAAUGACGGUAGCAUAUGAAUAAGCACCGGCUAACUCCGUGCCAGCAGCCGCGGUAAUACGGAGGGUGCAAGCGUUACUCGGAAUCACUGGGCGUAAAGGACGCGUAGGCGGGUUGGAAAGUCAGGUGUGAAAUCCUACAGCUUAACUGUAGAACUACACUUGAAACUUCUAAUCUAGAGUAUGGGAGGGGGAGAUGGAAUUAGUGGUGUAGGGGUAAAAUCCGUAGAUAUCACUAGGAAUACCUAAAGCGAAGGCGAUCUCCUGGAACAUUACUGACGCUAAGGCGUGAAAGCGUGGGGAGCAAACAGGAUUAGAUACCCCAGUAGUC